rnacentral:tmRNA from 1 species
GGGGAUGAAAAGCUUUGACAAGAAUUUAAUCUUAAUAUGCAAGCACCCUUUCAAUAUAAGUGCCAACUUAUUUGAAAAAGCUAAAACCGCUGUUGCCGUCGUUUUCGGCGGUCGGUUCGGCUUAGUUCCAGUUUACGCUUAAAAGCGUGAGCCAUCUGAUUCUUUGAUUCUCAAUAGAGGAAAUCAGGUGUUAUAUUAUUGAGAUAGAUAAUUAUUCUGCCUCAGGAUAAUUAUUGAAAAUUUAGAGGAUAAGAAUACUGGAAUUUUGUUUGUUUUUAUUCAGUAUUUUGAAAAAUUUAAACAAACUAUGCUUGUAGAAUUAUUUUGGGACAAUUCUUGGACAAGGGUGCAAUUCCCUUCGUCUCCACAG